CGAAAUUGCAAAUUUAAAGGACAAGUUACAAUUAGUUUCAAUAUUAGGAGCAGGACUCCUUGUUGGUACUGCGCUAGCGAUUAUACCUGACUGUACCUGAGGGUGUAAGAGCAUUAUUUACUGUGGAUGGUAUUAAUAAUGAAAAAGGCAAUUUACAUACUUUAACUUGGAAUUAGUUUAGUACUUGGUUUAUGCUUUUAAUUGAUCAAUGUUCAGCCAGAAAAAGUGGAGGAAGACAAGAAAAGUAUUACAGCAACUUUAGGUCUUAUAGUAGAUGCUGCUAGUUGAUUGGCGGUGUUGCAUUGGGAGCUGCUGCUACUACAUCUCAAGCUGAUGUCGAAGUGUCUUAGUUUUUCUUCGCAAUAAUGUUACACAAGGCGCCAGAUGCAUUUGGACUUGUGUCAAUUUCUUCUUCAUGAAGGUGUAGAUAGAAAGUAAGAAAAUAAGCAGACACUUAUUAAUUUUCUCUCUUGCGGCACCGUGUCUUGCACUUGUGACAUAUUUUGGAAUUGGAAAAGUAAUGUGAGUGAGUAAUG
rnacentral:lncRNA from 1 species